UACGUAGGGGGCAAGCGUUGUCCGGAAUCAUUGGGCGUAAAGAGCGUGUAGGCGGUCCGGUAAGUCGGUUGUGAAAGUCCAGGGCUCAACCCUGGGAUGCCGACCGAUACUGUCGGACUAGAGUUCGGAAGAGGCGAGUGGAAUCCCCGGUGUAGCGGUGAAAUGCGCAGAUAUCGGGAGGAACACCUAUGGCGAAGGCAGCUCGCUGGGACGUUACUGACGCUGAGACGCGAAAGCGUGGGGAGCAAACAGG
rnacentral:rRNA from 1 species